AACAGGAUUAGAUACCCUGGCAGUCCACGCCGUAAACGAUGUCGACUUGGAGGUUGUGCCCUUGAGGCGUGGCUUCCGGAGCUAACGCGUUAAGUCGACCGCCUGGGGAGUACGGCCGCAAGGUUAAAACUCAAAUGAAUUGACGGGGGCCCGCACAAGCGGUGGAGCAUGUGGUUUAAUUCGAUGCAACGCGAAGAACCUUACCUACUCUUGACAUCCAGAGAACUUUCCAGAGAUGGAUUGGUGCCUUCGGGAACUCUGAGACAGGUGCUGCAUGGCUGUCGUCAGCUCGUGUUGUGAAAUGUUGGGUUAAGUCCCGCAACGAGCGCAACCCUUAUCCUUUGUUGCCAGCGGUCCGGCCGGGAACUCAAAGGGGACUGCCAGUGAUAAACUGGAGGAAGGUGGGGAUGACGUCAAGUCAUCAUGGCCCUUACGAGUAGGGCUACACACGUGCUACAAUGGCGCAUACAAAGAGGAGCGACCUCGCGAGAGCAAGCGGACCUCAUAAAGUGCGUCGUAGUCCGGAUUGGAGUCUGCAACUCGACUCCAUGAAGUCGGAAUCGCUAGUAAUCGUGGAUCAGAAUGCCACGGUGAAUACGUUCCCGGGCCUUGUACACACCGCCCGUCACACCAUGGGAGUGGGUUGCAAAAGAAGUAGGUAGCUUAACCUCCGGGAGGGCGCUUACCACUUUGUGAUUCAUGACUGGGGCGAAGUCGUAACAAGGUAACC
rnacentral:rRNA from 1 species